rnacentral:rRNA from 1 species
CAGUAGCCGCGGUAAUACGAAGGGUGCAAGCGUUAAUCGGAAUUACUGGGCGUAAAGCGUGCGUAGGCCGUGAGUUAAGUCUGCUGUGAAAUCCCCGGGCUCAACCUGGGAAUGGCAGUGGAUACUGGCUCGCUAGAGUGUGUCAGAGGAUGGUGGAAUUCCCGGUGUAGCGGUGAAAUGCGUAGAGAUCGGGAGGAACAUCAGUGGCGAAGGCGGCCAUCUGGGACAACACUGACGCUGAGGCACGAAAGCGUGGGGAGCAAACAGGAUUAGAUACCCCGUAGUCCCUGUCUCUUAUACA